CGAGCCUCUGGAGAGACUCAUAUUAGGGCACCGAAGGAGCAAGGUUUAAUUUAAAUUAAACUGAAACUCUCAGGUAAAAGGACAGGGGAUAAA
rnacentral:ncRNA from 2 species